rnacentral:rRNA from 1 species
UAAAGAUUCAUCGCUGAUAGAUAGGCAUGCGUUCCAUUAGGCAGUUGGCGGGGUAACGGCCCACCAAACCGACGAUGGAUAGGGGUUCUGAGAGGAAGGUCCCCCACAUUGGUACUGAGACACGGACCAAACUCCUACGGGAGGCAGCAGUGAGGAAUAUUGGUCAAUGGGCGUAAGCCUGAACCAGCCAAGUCGCGUGAGGGAUGAAGGUUCCAUGGAUCGUAAACCUCUUUUAUAAGGGAAUAAAGUGCGGGACGAGUCCCGUUUUGUAUGUACCUUAUGAAUAAGGAUCGGCUAACUCCGUGCCAGCAGCCGCGGUAAUACGGAGGAUCCGAGCGUUAUCCGGAUUUAUUGGGUUUAAAGGGUGCGUAGGCGGCCUUUUAAGUCAGCGGUGAAAGUCUGUGGCUCAACCAUAGAAUUGCCGUUGAAACUGGGAGGCUUGAGUAUGUUUGAGGCAGGCGGAAUGCGUGGUGUAGCGGUGAAAUGCUUAGAUAUCACGCAGAACCCCGAUUGCGAAGGCAGCCUGCCAAGCCAUGACUGACGCUGAUGCACGAAAGCGUGGGGAUCAAACAGGAUUAGAUACCCUGGUAGUCCACGCAGUA